rnacentral:misc_RNA from 1 species
UUUCCGUAGGUGAACCUGCGGAAGGAUCAUUAACAAAUCAAUGGUAGUGGGAGCGGGCCGAAAGGUCAUGCUCCCCUAUAUCAAUCCGAACCCGUGCAGCAAUGCCGGGCAAGGUGUGUGAGGAGCGGGUUCAGAAAUGGGCCAGUCUCCUCACACGGUGACGAUUGGCGUAUGCUAGUCAGAUCCACAUAGACGCUUGUAUUGUUUGACAGAGUUAGUUGACACUUUAAAAAUGACAACUUUUAACAAUGGAUCUCUUGGCUCUU